UAUAUAGAAAUUGUGGAGCUGUCCCAGAAGUUGGGAGUUAUUCCAGAAGAUUUAGUAUCAAGCAAGGACCAGAAAGGGAAGGGGAGAAACGGGAAAGGCAGGCAGAUGACAGCUUUCAGUCCCUGAUGGAUGAGAGAAGAGGGGAGGCCUUCUUCCAAUCUCCUCAGCAAGGGGGACUGCAGAUGCUAUUAUGAACACGUGUAAUUCAUGGAAAGAAAUGAAUAUAUCAAUAUUAAUAGAAGUUUGGAGGAAGCUGAUUCCAACUUUCAUGAGUGACUUUGAAGAGUUCAAGACUUCAGUGGAGAAAAUCACUUCAGAUGUGGUGUAAACAGCAGAGAACUACAAUUAGAAAUGGAGCCUGACAAUGUAACUGAAUUGCUUAAAUCUCACAAUUAAACUUGAAUGAAACUUGCCUCUUAGGGAUAAGCAAAGAAAAGGGUUUCUUGAGAUGGGAUCCACUCCUUAUUAAGAUGCCCUGAGCAUUGUUGAAAUCACAAUAAAAAGAUUGAGAAUAUUAUAUAAGCUUAGUUGAUAAAGCAGUGGCAUGGUUUGAGAGAGUUGACUCUAAUUUUGAAGAAAGAUUUAUUGUGGGUAAAAUGCUAUCAGACAGCAUCCCAUGCUACAGGGAAAUCUUUUGUGAAAGGUCAAGUCAAUCAAUGUGAUAAAAAUUUAUUGUUAUAUUAUUUUUAGAAAUUGCCAUAGUCACCUCCACCCCCAGCAACCACCACUCUAAUCAGUCAGCAACCAUCAACACUGAGGCAGCACCCUUCACCAGCAAAAAGAUUACAACUUGCUGAAAACCCAGAUGAUUGUUAACAUUUUAAAACUAUACAAUAUUUUUAAAUUAAGGUAUGUAUAUUGAUUUUUUAGACAUAAUAUUAUUACUCAUUUAAUAGAGAACAGUAUAGUAUAAACAUGACUUUUAUAUGUACUGAGAAACUAAAAAAAAAAGUAUGACUUGCAUUGUUCCCAUAUUUUGUUUAUUGUGGUGGCCUGAAACUGAACCUGCACUAUCUCAGAGGUAUGCCUGUAUCACACAUAUUGAUUUUUGUGUGUAGAACCAAUCUUGCAUGCCAAGGAUGAAUCCCAUUUGAUCAUGGUGAAUGACUUACCCUUUACAUGUGCUGUGGAAUUUGGCUUUUCAGUAUUUAGUUGAGGAUUUUUACAUGUAUAUUUUGGCCUGUGAUUUUUUUUUUUUUCUAGUAGUGUUCUUGCCUGGCUUUGGAAAACUGGAUAUCCAUAUGCAGACAGGUAAAGUUAUAUCCUUAUCUUACAUUUUAUACAAGAAUCAACUCACAAUAGAUUAAAGAUCUAAAGAUAAGGUCAGAAACUAUAAAGUCACUAGAAAAAUACAUAGGGGAAAAGCUCCAUGACAUUGGUCUGGGCAAUGAAUUUUUUGGAUAUGACCUUUGAAAGCACAGGCAACAAAAGCAAAAGUAGACAUAGGGGAUUACAUCAAAUUAAAAAGCUUCUGCACUGCAAAAGAAACAAUAGACAGGUUGAGGAGACAACCUACAGAAUCAGAUAAAUUAUUUGUAAACCAUAUAUCUGAUAAAGGGUUAAUAUCUAAAAUCUACAUGGGGUAGAGGAAUAAGGGAGAUGUU
rnacentral:lncRNA from 1 species